rnacentral:rRNA from 1 species
AUUGAACGCUGGCGGCAUGCUUAGCACAUGCAAGUCGAACGGAAACGAUGGAGCUUGCUCCAGGCGUCGAGUGGCGGACGGGUGAGUAACGCAUGGGAAUCUGCCUUUUGCUGGGGGAUAACGUAGGGAAACUUACGCUAAUACCGCAUAAGACCUAAGGGUGAAAGCGGGGGACCGAAAGGCCUCGCGGCAAGAGAUGAGCCCAUGUUGGAUUAGCUAGUUGGUGGGGUAAAGGCCUACCAAGGCGACGAUCCAUAGCUGGUCUGAGAGGAUGAUCAGCCACACUGGGACUGAGACACGGCCCAGACUCCUACGGGAGGCAGCAGUGGGGAAUAUUGGACAAUGGGGGGAACCCUGAUCCAGCAAUGCCGCGUGUGUGAAGAAGGCCUUCGGGUUGUAAAGCACUUUCAGUAGGGAGGAAAGGUGCGUAGUUAAUACCUGCGCAAUUGACGUUACCUACAGAAGAAGCACCGGCUAACUCCGUG